UGGACAGCACCUUUCUUUAGAGACCAUUGUGGUGUGUUAUGGGGUUAAAAUGAUGCCACCUUAAAAUGAAACUGAAAAAAAAAAAUUGCAACUGUAAAUAUAAACAUUAAAACAAACAACUUACUUACAACCAAGUUCUCACACUUUACUUUUUUUUUUUUUUUUUUUUUUUUGCUCACAAUUGGUUUUUUUUUCAGUUUCAAUUUGCUGGCACUGUUUUAUAAUCCAGGGGCACGCUUGAGAGGCAGGGCUUCACACACAUUCGUUUUUGCAUACAUUACAAUGCUGACCAAUGACUUUAGAAACGAUGGACGACCUUAUAGCUGUAGCAACUGCAGUCACGGAGAAGCUUGCAUAUCUCUGUUUGGGAAUGGCAGACAGAGCAGAGAUGCGGAGAGGAGGUCCAGCAUUUAAAACUGACAACCUGAGGUGUUCUUUAGUAAACUGGACUAUCCAACAGACUGACCCGAGGCCCCACUGCAAUAUUUUCGUACUCAGGCAGCAGCUCAAACACCGGUGAUAAUACAUCCCUAUGUUCUGGCCACAUUGCAGCAGACUGAACCAGGACUGGAAACCUACUCCUGUCACGGUCUGCUGGGGCAAGCCGUCAUAUAGCCGAAUUAUUUAGGACCAGGAAGCGGCAGCUCAGGUGCAGGAGCUGCCCUCAGAUUCAGACCUCAGCACCACCCAGUGACAACAGACAGAUCAUCCUAUAUCUUCACUCUUUGUAGUAACUCCAAAAUUAAGUGAUGAAAAAAAUGGUGUUUCAGAAAGCUGCUGAACACUGAAUGUACUCAGCUGCAUGAAGAGACAUGAGAUUUUCUUUGACACAAAUAAAUAAAACCUGAUGAAGCUCAAAGGUCAUCACUUGUAUGUUGAACUAAAACUUCUGAUCUGGAAUUUAACAAAUUACCUAUUACCAGGUCAAAAUACCAGCUCUCAAUCCCUCCAAUCCCUCCGCUAAGCUCCAUGAAGACAUUGUUUACUCGUUGGAAUUUCUGUGCCAGCACUCUCCAUUGAGGAAUACAAGGAUGAGAUAGCUCUUCGUUUACAGAGGAUGAUUUCAGAACUUUCUUGGUUAUUCAGCUCGCUACAUCCUCUUAUUCAGGACUUCUUCGUCUCCACCAUGAACAUCUGCCCAGAGCUGAGGCUGCUGCUCUGGGC
ensembl:lncRNA